CACUGCCUCACUAGCCUUUGCCUACCAUUUGUCGAUGCUGAAUUACUUCGAACAUCUCUCUUUUUUCCUAGUCUAUAUGAAUCCCCUAUUCUUCCUUGUUCCAUGAUUGCCCAACCAUCUUCUAGCUUGUAGUGGAAAACCAUAAUCCAUCUCUUGUCGAGCCUUCCUUGAUGCCUUCCAUGACCAAAUGAUGGAGUUCA
rnacentral:lncRNA from 1 species